UCGUCUACCUGCUGGGGGCAGAUAAAGUGGAUAUGCGCGUCGAUGCCGCCCGCGGUCAGGAUCUUGCCUUCGCCCGAGAUAAUUUCCGUACCGGGGCCAAUCACGAUAUCCACAUCGGGCUGCACGUCUGGGUUGCCCGCUUUGCCAAUCGCAGCAAUACGUCCGUUCUGUAGCCCCACAUCGGCUUUGACGAUGCCCCACCAAUCGAGAAUCAGCGCGUUAGUGAUGACGGUGUCCAUGACGGUUUCAUCGUUACGUUGGCUCUGACCCAUGCCAUCGCGG
rnacentral:sRNA from 1 species